UACGUAGGGAGCAAGCGUUAUCCGGAUUUAUUGGGUGUAAAGGGUGCGUAGACGGGAAAUUAAGUUAGUUGUGAAAUCCCUCGGCUUAACUGAGGAACUGCAACUAAAACUGGUUUUCUUGAGUGCUGGAGAGGAAAGUGGAAUUCCUAGUGUAGCGGUGAAAUGCGUAGAUAUUAGGAGGAACACCAGUGGCGAAGGCGACUUUCUGGACAGUAACUGACGUUGAGGCACGAAAGUGUGGGGAGCAAACAGGAUUAGAUACCCUGGUAGUCCACACCGUAAACGAUGGAUACUAGGUGUAGGGUGUGAUAAACAUUCUGUGCCGUCGCAAACGCAGUAAGUAUCCCACCUGGGGAGUACGGCCGCAAGGUUGAA
rnacentral:rRNA from 1 species